UAGCACUGUUGCCUGAGCCAUUGGUGCUCCCUGGUACUAGCUCAGUUUUAAUGCAGUGCAAUAGGAAUUCUUUGUUUCCACAAGGCCUUGUCCUGCUGUGGGCUGCUCCUUCCCACAGUUGGACCUUG
ensembl:snoRNA